CCUUCGAUAGCUCAGCUGGUAGAGCGGAGGACUGUAGCGCUUCCCUGUGGAGUCAUCCUUAGGUCGCUGGUUCGAUUCCGGCUCGAAGGA
rnacentral:tRNA from 1 species